AUUGAACGCUGGCGGCAUGCUUUACACAUGCAAGUCGAACGGUAACAGGCCGCAAGGUGCUGACUAGUGGCGAACGGGUGAGUAAUGCAUCGGAACGUGCACAGUCGUGGGGGAUAACUACUCGAAAGAGUAGCUAAUACCUCAUACGAUCUAUGGAUGAAAGCGGGGGACCGUAAGGCCUCGCGCGAUUGGAGCGGCCGAUGUCAGAUUAGGUAGUUGGUGGUGUAAAGUCUCACCAAGCCAACGAUCUGUAGCUGGUCUGAGAGGACGACCAGCCACACUGGGACUGAGACACGGCCCAGACUCCUACGGGAGGCAGCAGUGGGGAAUUUUGGACAAUGGGCGCAAGCCUGAUCCAGCAAUGCCGCGUGCAGGAAGAAGGCCUUCGGGUUGUAAACUGCUUUUGUACGGAACGAAACGGCUCUGGUUAAUACCCGGGGCUAAUGACGGUACCGUAAGAAUAAGCACCGGCUAACUACGU
rnacentral:rRNA from 1 species